UACAGAGGUCCCAAGCGUUGUUCGGAUUCAUUGGGCGUAAAGGGCGCGUAGGCGGCCUGCUAAGUCACACGUGAAAUCCCUCGGCUCAACCGGGGAACUGCGUGUGAUACUGGCGGGCUUGAAUUCGGGAGAGGGAUGUGGAAUUCCAGGUGUAGCGGUGAAAUGCGUAGAUAUCUGGAGGAACACCGGCGGCGAAGGCGGCAUCCUGGACCGAGAUUAACGCUGAGGCGCGAAAGCUAGGGUAGCAAACGGG
rnacentral:rRNA from 1 species